rnacentral:rRNA from 1 species
AAUCUGCCCAGUAGCGGGGGACAACCUGGUGAAAACCAGGCUAAUACCGCAUACGCCCUACGGGGGAAAGAUGGCCUCUUCUUGAAAGCUAUCACUAUUGGAUGAGCCUAUGUCAGAUUAGCUAGUUGGUGAGGUAAUGGCUCACCAAGGCGACGAUCUGUAGCUGGUCUGAGAGGAUGAUCAGCCACACUGGGACUGAGACACGGCCCAG